AUUGAACGCUGGCGGCAGGCCUAACACAUGCAAGUCGAACGGUAACAGGAAGCAGCUUGCUGCUUCGCUGACGAGUGGCGGACGGGUGAGUAAUGUCUGGGAAGCUGCCUGAUGGAGGGGGAUAACUACUGGAAACGGUAGCUAAUACCGCAUAAUGUCGCAAGACCAAAGAGGGGGACCUUCGGGCCUCUUGCCAUCGGAUGUGCCCAGAUGGGAUUAGCUUGUUGGUGGGGUAACGGCUCACCAAGGCGACGAUCCCUAGCUGGUCUGAGAGGAUGACCAGCCACACUGGAACUGAGACACGGUCCAGACUCCUACGGGAGGCAGCAGUGGGGAAUAUUGCACAAUGGGCGCAAGCCUGAUGCAGCCAUGCCGCGUGUAUGAAGAAGGCCUUCGGGUUGUAAAGUACUUUCAGCGGGGAGGAAGGGAGUAAAGUUAAUACCUUUGCUCAUUGACGUUACCCGCAGAAGAAGCACCGGCUAACUCCGUGCCAGCAGCCGCGGUAAUACGGAGGGUGCAAGCGUUAAUCGGAAUUACUGGGCGUAAAGCGCACGCAGGCGGUUUGUUAAGUCAGAUGUGAAAUCCCCGGGCUCAACCUGGGAACUGCAUCUGAUACUGGCAAGCUUGAGUCUCGUAGAGGGGGGUAGAAUUCCAGGUGUAGCGGUGAAAUGCGUAGAGAUCUGGAGGAAUACCGGUGGCGAAGGCGGCCCCCUGGACGAAGACUGACGCUCAGGUGCGAAAGCGUGGGGAGCAAACAGG
rnacentral:rRNA from 2 species